CCAAUAGCGUAUAUUAAAGUUGUUGCAGUUAAAAAGCUCGUAGUUGAAUUUCGGGGUCAGUAGGUCGGUCGUGCCACUGGUAUGAACUGGUUUUACUGAUUCCUCCCUCUUGAAGAACUGUAAUGCCAUUAAUUUGUUGUUGCAGGGAAUCAGGACUGUUACUUUGAAAAAAUUAGAGUGUUUAAAGCAGGCUUUAGCUUGAAUACAUUAGCAUGGAAUAAUGAAAUAGGACGUUUGAUCCUAUUUUGUUGGUUUCUAGGAUUGACGUAAUGAUUAAUAGGGAUAGUUGGGGGCAUUAGUAUUCAAUUGUCAGAGGUGAAAUUCUUGGAUUUAUUGAAGACUAACUACUGCGAAAGCAUUUGCCAAGGAUGUUUUCAUUAAUCAAGAACGAAAGUUAGGGGAUCGAAGACGAUCAGAUACCGUCGUAGUCUUAACCAUAAACUAUGCCGACUAGGGAUCGGAUGAUGUUAAUUUUUUAAUGACCCAUUCGGCGCCUUACG
rnacentral:misc_RNA from 1 species